AUAGUGGCGACGGGUGAGUAACACGUGGGCAAUCUGCCCUUCACUCUGGGACAAGCCCUGGAAACGGGGUCUAAUACCGGAUACGACUGCGGAAGGCAUCUUCCGCGGUGGAAAGCUCCGGCGGUGAAGGAUGAGCCCGCGGCCUAUCAGCUUGUUGGUGGGGUAAUGGCCUACCAAGGCGACGACGGGUAGCCGGCCUGAGAGGGCGACCGGCCACACUGGGACUGAGACACGGCCCAGACUCCUACGGGAGGCAGCAGUGGGGAAUAUUGCACAAUGGGCGAAAGCCUGAUGCAGCGACGCCGCGUGAGGGAUGACGGCCUUCGGGUUGUAAACCUCUUUCAGCAGGGAAGAAGCGAAAGUGACGGUACCUGCAGAAGAAGCGCCGGCUAACUACGUGCCAGCAGCCGCGGUAAUACGUAGGGCGCAAGCGUUGUCCGGAAUUAUUGGGCGUAAAGAGCUCGUAGGCGGCCAGUCACGUCGGAUGUGAAAGCCCGAGGCUUAACCUCGGGUCUGCAUUCGAUACGGGCUGGCUAGAGUGUGGUAGGGGAGAUCGGAAUUCCUGGUGUAGCGGUGAAAUGCGCAGAUAUCAGGAGGAACACCGGUGGCGAAGGCGGAUCUCUGGGCCAUUACUGACGCUGAGGAGCGAAAGCGUGGGGAGCGAACAGGAUUAGAUACCCUGGUAGUCCACGCCGUAAACGUUGGGAACUAGGUGUUGGCGACAUUCCACGUCGUCGGUGCCGCAGCUAACGCAUUAAGUUCCCCGCCUGGGGGAGUACGCGCAGGCUAAACUCAAAGGAAUUGACGGGGCCCGCACAAGCGGCGGGAGCAUGGUGGCUUAAU
rnacentral:rRNA from 1 species